rnacentral:rRNA from 1 species
UACGUGAGAGGCAAGCGUUAUUCGUCAUUAUUGGGUCUAAAGGGUACGUAGGCGGUAUAGUAAAUCUUUUUUUAUUAACACUUAAAAGUGGAUCGGAUAAUACUACACUAGAGUUAAAAGAAGUAACAAAUACGACAAGUGGAGUGUAACAAUACUUAGAUACUUGAAGGGUUGCGAAGCGGCGAAAGCAUGUUACUAUUGAAGACUGACGCUGAGGUACGAAGGCAUGGGUAUCGAUCGGG